AAGUACUGAUGAAGCAAGCAAGUGAUUGUGAUUAGUCAUAAAUGUUUGUUUUGGCCAGCUUGAAUUUGUUGGUGUGUAACUCUUUACCAUACAUUUACAUUAUUUCAGGUUUAUAAAAUAUCUAGAGAAGAGAUUACCUGCUGAAGACUCCAAAGCGAUGUCUCUUGUGCUAGAUCGUCUAGUACAAAGAUUUCUCCAAGAAGAGCGUUAUACCAAUGACAUCUGAUACGUAAACUACUACAUUAAAUGUGCAAGUUAUUACAAUGAGCCCAUCAAACUAUACAGCCACAUAUACAGUAAGGGCAUUGGCACCAGAGAUGCAGUCCUCUAUGUGGCGUGGGCUCAUCUAUGUGGCGUGGGCUCAACAGUUUGAGCAGCAGGGCCUGCUUCAACAGGCUGACACCGUGUACCAGAGAGCCAUGGAAAACCAAGCUAAGCCAACUGACACUGUCCUUCAGCAAUACAGGUAACUUGUAGUAUUGUUUACCUUUCCAUGUUGAUGUUUCUAUUGUUGAUACAUUUUAAUCUAUUCACAGAAUGUUCCAAACCAGGACUUCUGGAAGUGGGGCAGGGGCUUCAGAAGCUGUACGGAAUCCUCUUCAGAAGUCCAACUUGGUAAAUCAGCUGCAAACCCACAGAGUGCCCAGCCCACAGUGCAAGGACCCUGAACGUCUGUUCCAACUCCCUACAGACAGAACUGUUCGCAUAGGACCGUCAGAGGUUGGUUAGAGAGCAGGAGGAGGAGGUAAUGAGGAUGAACCAGCUGUUGGAGGAGCUGGAGAGUAAUCUCUGUGUGAGCUCCGCCAGUGCUCUACCAGUGCAGCAGGCACUCUGCACACCUGCAACAGAUCUGAAUCCUGAGUUCCUCCAACAUUCUUUAAGGCACCCUCUACUCUCGAGCAACCUCGGCAUCAAACUCACUCCAGGCUUUAGACUGAACAGUGUACAGGACCCCAGACAAGGCAUGGUUAGGGAAUCUGAGACGCACCUUCAGUGCGACCAUCUCAGGGCUCCCAUUACAGACAGUCUGCGCUCACAGCGAUCCGUUUCUCCAUCUGGACAGUUGGAGGAGGUAAACUCCUCCCAUAGAUGCUCCCUCCACAUGCCAGAAGCAGCAAUGGGUCACUUGCGUGAAUAUACAAAAGCUCCAAAACCAUUUGCAGUCGCUUCCCAGGCAACUUCUCUACAAGCUUCUCUAGUUCAGCCCCAACCAGAACGAAACCCUAAGCCAUUUGGGUCGGUCCCACAGAAGCCAGCAGCCUACAGAUUUGACGUGCAGCUUGGUGGAGUUCCAUAUCAGGGUGGUCACUCUCACCUCAGCAGCAUUUUCCAGCAGCACAACGGCAGCGAUCAUCAGUAGUGAGGUGUCUGUCAGUGAAGCUCCUGAGUCAGAGGUGAAAUUAGAUGUGUCACAGGGAGGGACUGGAAACGUGUCCCAUAUCACUCCUAACACUUCUCUGGGACUGGUGCAAGUCACCCCGUCCAGGGUGCUCCCAUCCCCCACAGUCAACACACGGGAGGCACUUGAUGCUAUCAUGGACAUGUUCCAGGUUCCAACCCUCCUGCAGGAGGACCAGUUCCGCAGCAUGCCAAUGCAUCCACAUCAGGCGGAGAAGAGCUUUGAUGCUGGCUACCAGAGAACGGGUAAUUCAAUUCCCAUCUGAUUACAACUUCUCAAAAACUUUGUUUCAGACUGUAAGCAAAAAUCAUAUCACAUUUUACAGUAAAACAAUUAAUUAAAUAAAUAAGAGGUAAAAGCCAACAGACAAUAAAAGCGACACAUAAUGGCGGGUCACCCUUUUUGAUUUUACAUACAGUGAUUAAAUGGUCUUUCUAUAAAUGUUUUUGUUGUAUUAUGUAAUGGAGGCGCAGCUUCAUUCAGCAAGCCCCCCAGUGCAGUCCCUUUCGCUAUCUUUCAGGAUGAGAAUGACAUAAAGGAGAAAUGCAGUGCUGCUAUGGUGGACAAUGCAAAGCCACCAAGGGCCCUAGCAGAAAUCCCUCUGUCUAAACCAGAGAAACAAAAUGAACGUCCAUCGGAAUUGAUACCAGAUGAGAGCACUAUGUGGGAAGCAUGCUACAACUCCCUGGCCGCCUGCCCCAACAGCACCAGAGACUUUUCACUGUCGGCUCACCUGGCCUCCACGCCCUUCCAAAACAAAGUUCCUUACUCCUGGGACUUUGAGCAGGAUCAAGAAAAUGAUCAACCCAGUGGCUUUGGGGGUCCGGAAGAAGGCCCUUUCCUACGACAGCCCACAAAACUCAGCCCUAUCAUAGAGCAGAGCCCACCUGAUGGGUUACCUGAGACUGGCACGGAGUGCUCUAUGAGAGCUCAGGGCUUUGCUGAGCAGGGCACCAUCGUGGGAGAAGGGCUAGCCCUGGCCCAGCGAAGCCUGGCUACUGCUCCAUGACUGAAGUGCAGCAUCAUGCCCCGGCCGCACUGUCCUUCAGAGACCAGACUGCCCCCCUGACCCAUGCUGAGGUGGCAGUGGCCAAAAGCCCUCCUUCCAAGGCCUCAAAGCCAGACUGGGAUGUCUAUGUGAGCCCAGAGCAGUCCUCAAAGCCAGCUUUUCCUCUCCCACAGCAUGCACCUGUGGCAGAAGCAUUCCUUUCAAAGAGCCAGAUAUAUGCCCCCAAAUCCAACUUUGAUGUUCCAACUUGUCCAGAGAAAGCUCCAACGCCUGCCUCCAAGUGUGCACCCAAGUCAGACUGGUUAGUGGUCAAAAGCCCAGAGGUUGUGGUUGAACAUGACUUGGAUGCCUUCAUGAGUGCCCGUCAGGGUCAGAGAACAGUCGGCAUCCCUCUGGAGACCAUGGACAUCCCCCAGGUCAAGGGGCAGCGGCUGUAGAGCUGGUCUCCGACCCCUGGGAUGAGGAGCUGAUUUCCUCCCUGCUCUCCAAGCUGUCCACGCCACUCACCUCACAGCCUAACUUCAUCACCUGGCAGUGCAAAGCCCCCAGCAUCGCACCCAAGAUGACCAUCAAGAUGGGUAAAGGCUCCUUACGGGUUGACUGUGUACUCGGACAGGGUGCCUUUGCCACAGUCUACCAGGCAACUGACCUCAACACCUCAGAGAAGAUGAUUUUAAAGGUGCAGAAACCAGCCAAUCCGUGGGAGUUUUACAUCAACUCUCAGCUGAAUGCCCGGCUGCAGCCCAGCGUGCGCCACCUCUUUAAUAACAUCCACUCUGCCCACCUCUUCCAGAACGGUAGCGUGCUAUUGGGCGAGCUCUACAACUGUGGCACCCUAUUGAAUGCUGUAAACCUGUACAAGAACCUUAGCGACAAGGUGAUUCCCCAGCCUCUGGUGAUCUACUUCACUGUCUGCAUCCUGCACAUGGUGGAACAGCUGCACAAUAUCCACAUCGUUCACGCUGACAUCAAACCAGACAACUUCCUGCUGGAGAGAGGUUCCUGGAGAACAAGUCUUUUGACCAAGAUAAUCUGGAUCAUGGCCUCUCCCUAAUUGACCUGGGUCAGAGCAUUGACAUGACUCUGUUCCCAGAGGGCACGGCUUUCACUGCCAAGUGUAUGACCUCGGGCUUCCAGUGUACAGAGAUGCAGAGUGGGAGACCAUGGAACUACCAGACGGACUACUUUGGGAUAGCUGGAACGGUGUACUGCAUGAUUUUUGGAACAUACAUGCAAGUGACACAGGAGGGUGCGUGUGGAAGACAAAUGCAGUAUUUAGAAGAAAUCCCCACAGUGAUCUGUGGACAGAGUUCUUCCACACUCUGCUGAAUGUACCUGACUGUAGCUCCCUGCCCUGCCUGCGGAGCCUGCGCAGUAGACUGAGCACUGUGCUCCAACAGAACUACAGCAACAAGCUGCCAUCGCUGAAGACGCGCCUGGUUAUCCAGGUGUUAGAGAGCAGGACGGCAAGGAGAUAGAACUCCCUGAGAACCUUUCUACUCUUGGGUCCUGUUCAGUAGGUAUACAAUUAAAGAAAGCGGUCUGAAACUGAGUGGAACUUGGGAGAUACUAUCUGGACUUUAUGAACAACCCUAAUGAACACGACCCUGGAUACUACUGUGAUGUCGAAUUUCUAGUCCAUUUGUAAAUACAAAAGAUUGACCUUAAAUCGGUUCCGGUCACUGUGAUAACCUUUUAUGCAUUUUAAUGUUUUUUAGUGAUAACCUUUUGUCCAUUUAAAUAACAGAAAUUGUGAGGUUGGAGAUGUUAUGGUGUAUUUUCAUUUGUAAAGAAUAUAUAUAUAUUUUUAAAUCCUGUCUUGCAAGUGUAGUUUAUCAUGGCAUUUGAAUUUCUUUUUGGCUCCAACUUCAUGCAGAAAUAUGUCACUAGGUGUCACCCUUGUUCAAGAAGUUGAGCAACAUGCUCUAGUUUGUGAAUUUGGUGUGUAAUUUUAAGGACAGUAUUUGAUAUUAACAGGGUAUAUAAUUGUGUAUUCCCUUGAUACUACAAUGCAAGAUAAAUGAAGGCAAGGCAAUUAUUUAUGUUUCAGUACCUAUUGCCAGAUGUUUGAUGAUAGAAGCUAGCUUAAUACACCAGCAGAAUACAGCAAUCAAACUGCUUUUCAUCCAGAACAACGGAUCAAACCAAAUUAAGGAAGUGAUGUACGAAAUGAGCACAAAAUACUUGACUGGAUCCAAACGAAAUUCUUUUCCCGUUGGAGCAAUUCAGUUUGGAGUCAUACCAAAGACUUAAAAUGGAACCCGAUGCCUCUGCUUGGCCAUUGGCAUAAGAACAUGGAUUGGGUGAUGAACCCCAGUGUCCUGCCCAGGAGGUGUCCUAUGAUCUGUUCUGGUUUGGACAAGGCUUUCUUACAAUUCAGUUUGGAUCCAGGCUACAUAUGUAAUUACCACAAUCUGUGCCUCUACAGUACAGUUCCCUCAGAGGUGCCUCGAGUUUUGCCACUCUAUUCCAUUGCUAGGCACCCUGUUUGACUCCCACUUUAACAGCCCUGCCCUCUGAUGUCCUCAGCAUUAUUAAUGAGCUUUGUUUGGUCACAGUUUUUCUGUCCCCAAUGAUACCCUAUUCCCUCUAUGGCAACCUAUUCCCCUGUGAGCCCUGGUCAAAAGUAGUGCACGGGAGAGGGAAUGGGGUGCCAUUUGGGAUACUAGCAUUGACAAUCAGAAGCCUGUGAUAUGAAAAGGGAGCAUGGCGCAGCAGCGAUUUGAGAUUUCCCCGCACCUGGAACGGUGAUGCUGAAACAGACCAGACUUUUAGGGUGGACGCUAGAGUAAACCUCUCAAAGGGUGUUAACAAUAGAAGCGUGCCUCAAUCUGUUUUUCCUUUACCAUCCCCUCAG
rnacentral:lncRNA from 1 species